rnacentral:rRNA from 1 species
AACGAACGCUGGCGGCAUGCCUAACACAUGCAAGUCGAACGAGACCUUCGGGUCUAGUGGCGCACGGGUGCGUAACGCGUGGGAACCUGCCCUUAGGUUCGGAAUAACUCCCCGAAAGGGGUGCUAAUACCGGAUAAUGUCUUCGGACCAAAGAUUUAUCGCCUUUGGAUGGGCCCGCGUUGGAUUAGCUAGUUGGUAGGGUAAAAGCCUACCAAGGCGACGAUCCAUAGCUGGUCUGAGAGGAUGAUCAGCCACACUGGGACUGAGACACGGCCCAGACUCCUACGGGAGGCAGCAGUAUAGAAUAUUGGACAAUGGGCGAAAGCCUGAUCAAGCAAUGCCGCGUGAGUGAUGAAGGCCUUAGGGUUGUAAAGCUCUUUUACCCGGGAUGAUAAUGACAGUACCGGGAGAAUAAGCUCCGGCUAACUCCGUG